AUGUUCAUCGGUGCAAUGAUAGUACAUAGGAGUAGUACUCGAUAUCAAGCGGAGCGAUCCGAAUUGCAGUUAGCACGACCUAAACGACAAGGGUUUGAGGAGGCGAGGGACGCGUGCUGCGGGCUGGGCCCCUUCGGUGGCACCAUCGGGUGCCUGACGAGGGAGAUGGCGUGCCCCACACCGCAGGGACACAUCUGGUGGGACCUGUACAGUGUCACGGAGACGGUGAACACACUGCUUGCGGACUGGGCCUGGUCGGUGCCGCCGUCGACGGACUCCGACACGAGCAUCUGCCGCCCCAUUACCCUGCAGCAGCUUUCCGGGCGAGCCGACGCACUGGCGCCACCGGCGAUGGUGUAG
rnacentral:rRNA from 1 species